rnacentral:rRNA from 1 species
UGCCCUAGUAACGGCGAGUGAAGCGGCAAAAGCUCAAAUUUGAAAUCUGGCCCUAGCGGUCCGAGUUGUAAUUUGCAGAGGAUGCUUUUGGUGCGGUGCCUUCCGAGUUCCCUGGAACGGGACGCCAUAGAGGGUGAGAGCCCCGUACGGUUGGACACCCUAGCCUCUAUAUAGCUCCUUCGACGAGUCGAGUAGUUUGGGAAUGCUGCUCUAAAUGGGAGGUAAAUUUCUUCUAAAGCUAAAUACCGGCCAGAGACCGAUAGCGCACAAGUAGAGUGAUCGAAAGAUGAAAAGCACUUUGAAAAGAGGGUUAAAUAGCACGUGAAAUUGUUGAAAGGGAAGCGUUUGCGACCAGACCUUCUCCAGGGGGAUCAACCGUUAUUUUUAGCGGUGCACUCCCCCUGGUUUAGGCCAGCAUCGGUUCUCUUAGGGGGAUAAAGGCCUGGGGAACGUAGCUCUUUAGGGAGUGUUAUAGCCCCUAGCGUAAUACCCUUCAGGGGACCGAGGACCGCGCUUCGGCAAGGAUGCUGGCGUAAUGGUCGUCAACGACCCGUCUUGAAACACGGACCAAGGAGUCGAACAUUUGUGCGAGUGUUUGGGUGUUAAACCCUCACGCGUAAUGAAAGUGAACGGAGGUGAGAGCCUUAGGGUGCAUCAUCGACCGAUCCUGAUGUCUUCGGAUGGAUUUGAGUAAGAGCAUAACUGUUCGGACCCGAAAGAUGGUGAACUAUGCGUGGAUAGGGUGAAGCCAGAGGAAACUCUGGUGGAGGCUCGCAGCGGUUCUGACGUGCAAAUCGAUCGUCAAAUCUGCGCAUGGGGGCGAAAGACUUAUCGAACCAUCUAGUAGCUGGUUACCGCCGAAGUUUCCCUCAGGAUAGCAGUGUUGUCUUCAGUUUUAUGAGGUAAAGCGAAUGAUUAGGGACUCGGGGGCGCUAUAUUGCCUUCAUCCAUUCUCAAACUUUAAAUAUGUAAGAAGCCCUUGUUACUUAGUUGAACGUGGGCAUUCGAAUGUACCAACACUAGUGGGCCAUUUUUGGUAAGCAGAACUGGCGAUGCGGGAUGAACCGAACGCGGGGUUAAGGUGCCAGAGUGGACGCUCAUCAGACACCACAAAAGGUGUUAGUACAUCUUGACAGCAGGACGGUGGCCAUGGAAGUCGGAAUCCGCUAAGGACUGUGUAACAACUCCACCUGCCGAAUGUUACUAGCCCUGAAAAUGGAUGGCGCUCAAGCGUCUCACCCAUACCUCGCCCUUAGGGUAGAAACGAUGCCCUAAGGAGUAGGCGGCCGUGGAGGUUAGUGACGAAGCCUAGGGC